rnacentral:pre_miRNA from 1 species
AGGAGGAACAGCCCCAGUGGCGGGGCAGCUCUGGAAACCUGGAUUCAGCUCCGGCAGGAACUCCGGAGCUCUCGGUCUGCAGGGCCUGGAGGCUCCGGGGCGGG